AGGGCCAUAGCUCAGUGGUUAGAGCAUUUGCUUGGCAGGCCAAAGGUCUUGGGUUCAAUGCCUGGUGUUUCCA